rnacentral:rRNA from 1 species
AAUAGAUACCCCGGUAGUCCACGCCGUAAACGAUGGAUACUAGCUGUUCGGAGCAAUCUGAGUGGCUAAGCGAAAGUGAUAAGUAUCCCACCUGGGGAGUACGUUCGCAAGAAUGAAACUCAAAGGAAUUGACGGGGGCCCGCACAAGCGGUGGAGCAUGUGGUUUAAUUCGAUGAUACGCGAGGAACCUUACCAAGGCUUAAAUGUAGAUUGACCGGACUGGAAACAGUUUUUUCGCAAGACAAUUUACAAGGUGCUGCAUGGUUGUCGUCAGCUCGUGCCGUGAGGUGUCAGGUUAAGUCCUAUAACGAGCGCAACCCCUGUCGUUAGUUGCCAGCGAGUCAUGUCGGGAACUCUAACGAGACUGCCAGUGUAAACUGUGAGGAAGGUGGGGAUGACGUCAAAUCAUCACGGCCCUUACGCCUUGGGCUACACACGUGCUACAAUGGCCGGUACAGAGAGCAGCCACUGGGCGACCAGGAGCGAAUCUAUAAAACCGGUCACAGUUCGGAUCGGAGUCUGCAACUCGACUCCG